rnacentral:rRNA from 1 species
UACGUAGGUGGCGAGCGUUGUCCGGAAUUAUUGGGCGUAAAGCGCGCGUAGGCGGGAUAGUCAGUCUGUUGUAAAAGCGAGGGGCUCAACCCCGGAAUGUCAAGGGAAACUGCUAUUCUUGAGUGCAGGAGAGGAAAGUGGAAUUCCCGGUGUAGCGGUGAAAUGCGUAGAUAUUGGGAGGAACACCAGUGGCGAAGGCGGCUUUCUGGACUGUGUCUGACGCUGAGGCGCGAAAGCCAGGGUAGCGAACGGG